rnacentral:tRNA from 1 species
GGUAGCUCAGUCGGUAGAGCACCUGACUGUUAAUCAGGGAGUCACUGGUUCGAGUCCAGUC